AGAGAUGAAAAAGAGAGGAAAGGAAGUGGAAGAAAAGAGGUGAAUGCACAAAAGCCACUCGCGUUCGUUCAUGGUUUCUCCAUAUUUUUAAAACAUUUGUCUUUGCCGCCUUACCUGUCUAC
rnacentral:ribozyme from 1 species